GAUGAACGCUGGCGGCGUGCCUAAUACAUGCAAGUCGAGCGAACAGAUAAGGGGCUUGCUCCUUUGACGUUAGCGGCGGACGGGUGAUUAACACGUGGGUAACCUACCUAUAAGACUGGGAUAACUUCGGGAAACCGGCGCUAAUACCGGAUAAUAUUUCGAACCGCAUGGUUCGAUAGUUAAAGAUGGUUUUUCUAUCACUUAUAGAUGAACCCGCGCCUCAUUAGCUAGUUGGUAAGGUAACGGCUUACCAAGGCGACGAUCCGUAGCCGACCUGAGAGGGUGAUCGGCCACACUGGAACUGAGACACGGUCCAGACUCCUACGGGAGGCAGCAGUAGGGAAUCUUCCGCAAUGGGCGAAAGCCUGACGGAGCAACGCCGCGUGAGUGAUGAAGGUCUUCGGAUCGUAAAACUCUGUUAUUAGGGAAGAACAUACGUGUAAGUAACUGUGCACGUCUUGACGGUACCUAAUCAGAAAGCCACGGCUAACUACGUG
rnacentral:rRNA from 1 species